GAUGAACGCUGGCGGCGUGCCUAAUACAUGCAAGUCGAGCGAACAGAUAAGGAGCUUGCUCCUUUGACGUUAGCGGCGGACGGGUGAGUAACACGUGGGUAACCUACCUAUAAGACUGGAAUAACUCCGGGAAACCGGGGCUAAUGCCGGAUAACAUUUAGAACCGCAUGGUUCUAAAGUGGAAGACGGUUUUGCUAUCACUUAUAGAUGGACCCGCGCCGUAUUAGCUAGUUGGUAAGGUAACGGCUUACCAAGGCAACGAUACGUAGCCGACCUGAGAGGGUGAUCGGCCACACUGGAACUGAGACACGGUCCAGACUCCUACGGGAGGCAGCAGUAGGGAAUCUUCCGCAAUGGGCGAAAGCCUGACGGAGCAACGCCGCGUGAGUGAUGAAGGUCUUCGGAUCGUAAAACUCUGUUAUUAGGGAAGAACAAAUGUGUAAGUAACUGUGCACGUCUUGACGGUACCUAAUCAGAAAGCCACGGCUAACUACGUG
rnacentral:rRNA from 1 species